rnacentral:rRNA from 1 species
CCAAAAGUAUCGGUAGGGGAGCAUUCCAUGUGCGUUGAAUGGUGUAAGUGAUUUAUCCUGGAGCGCAUGGAAAAGCAAAUGUAGGUAUAAGUAACGAUAAAAAGGGUGAGAUUCCCUUUCGCUGUAAGACUAAGGUUUCCCGGGCAAUGUCAAUCAGCCCGGGGUCAGUCGGGUCCUAAGCCUCAGCCGAACGGCGAGGGCGAUGGCAGAUACGGUUAAUAUUCCGUGACUACCUUAAGGAGCGAUGUGGAGACGGAGUCGUGAAACUUCCGCGGACCGACGGAAUGGUCCGUUAAAGAGUGUAGAUGUUGAAUCCGGCAGGCAAAUCCGCCGGACGAGUCGAACUUGACAGUACAGGCUACCCUUCGGGGCGGCUUGACAGUGAAGGUAAGCAUACUCCCGAGAAAAUCCGCUAAGCAUAUCCUUGAGGUACCCGUACCGCAAACGGACACACGUAGUCGGGUAGAACAUACUAAGGCGUUGAGAGAUUCAUGGUUAAGGAACUAGGCAAACUGACCCCGUAACUUCGGGAUAAGGGGUCCUCGUCGCAAGGCGAGGCGCAGAGAAUAGGUCCAGGCAACUGUUUAACAAAAACACAGGGCUGUGCUAACUCGAAAGAUGAAGUAUACAGCCUGACACCUGCCCGGUGCCGGAAGGUUAAGAGGAGAUGUCACCGCAAGGGAAGCAUUGAAUUGAAGCCCCGGUAAACGGCGGCCGUAACAAUAACGGUCCUAAGGUAGCGAAAUUCCUUGUCGGGUAAGUUCCGACCUGCACGAAUGGUGUAAUGAUCCGGACGCUGUCUCAACCAUGAGCUCAGUGAAAUUGUAGUAUCGGUGAAGAUGCCGAUUACCCGCGAUGGGACGAAAAGACCCCGUGAACCUUUACUACAGCUUAGCAUUGGCCUUGGUCAUCCGAUGUGUAGGAUAGGCCGGAGGCUUCGAAGCGGGUGCGCCAGCAUUCGUGGAGCCAUCCUUGAAAUACGGCCCUUUGUAUGUCUGAGGUCUAACGCGCGUUUUGCGCGGACACUGUUUGGUGGGUAGUUUGACUGGGGUGGUCGCCUCCAAAAGCGUAACGGAGGCUUCCAAAGGUGCCCUCGGGCCGAUUGGUAACCGGCCUUAUAGAGUGCAAUGGCAUAAGGGCGCUUGACUGGGAGGCAGACAUGCCGAGCAGGCAGGAAACUGGGGCAUAGUGAUCCGGCGGAUGUGUAUGGAAACUCCGUCGCUCAAAGGAUAAAAGGUACUCCGGGGAUAACAGGCUGAUCCCCCCCAAGAGCUCAUAUCGACGGGGUGGUUUGGCACCUCGAUGUCGGCUCGUCACAUCCUGGGGCUGGAGAAGGUCCCAAGGGUUGGGCUGUUCGCCCAUUAAAGUGGCACGCGAGCUGGGUUCAGAACGUCGUGAGACAGUUCGGUCUCUAUCUAUCGUGGGCGUUGGAGUUUUGCGUGGUGCCGUCACUAGUACGAGAGGACCGUGAUGGACAGACCUCCGGUUUACCAGUUGUGCCGCCAGGUGCACCGCUGGGUAUCUGAGUCUGGAAUGGAUGAGCGCUGAAAGCAUCUAAGUGCGAAGCCAGCCGCAAGAUGAGAGCUCCUCAUAAGGGUCGUUGUAGACGACAACGUUGAUAGGGUGCAGGUGUAAAGACGGUGACGUCAAAGCCGAGCACUACUAAUUGCUC